UACGUAGGGUGCAAGCGUUAAUCGGAAUUACUGGGCGUAAAGCGUGCGCAGGCGGUUUUUUAAGACAGAUGUGAAAGCCCCGGGCUCAACCUGGGAACUGCGUUUGGUACUGGCAAGCUAGAGUACGGCAGAGGGGGGUGGAAUUCCACGUGUAGCAGUGAAAUGCGUAGAGAUGUGGAGGAACACCGAUGGCGAAGGCAGCCCCCUGGGCCGAUACUGACGCUCAGGCACGAAAGCGUGGGGAGCAAACAGG
rnacentral:rRNA from 1 species